UAGCCAAGAGUCCACAUACCAAAGUUUAGUAGCUAAGACAAUAAACGUGGCAGUGCUCCCAACAGCAGACAGCACUACUAGACCAGCCUUUGGAAAUUCAUCGUCGUAUGUGCCAUCAACUGCCUUCCACAUUUUAGGAAGGUAUUUAUUGUACCAAACUAUCCACCC
rnacentral:misc_RNA from 1 species